rnacentral:rRNA from 1 species
UCGAACGAUGAACCACUUCGGUGGGGAUUAGUGGCGAACGGGUGAGUAACACGUGGGCAAUCUGCCCUGCACUCUGGGACAAGCCCUGGAAACGGGGUCUAAUACCGGAUACGACGCGCUCAGGCAUCUGAUGCGCGUGGAAAGCUCCGGCGGUGCAGGAUGAGCCCGCGGCCUAUCAGCUUGUUGGUGAGGUAACGGCUCACCAAGGCGACGACGGGUAGCCGGCCUGAGAGGGCGACCGGCCACACUGGGACUGAGACACGGCCCAGACUCCUACGGGAGGCAGCAGUGGGGAAUAUUGCACAAUGGGCGAAAGCCUGAUGCAGCGACGCCGCGUGAGGGAUGACGGCCUUCGGGUUGUAAACCUCUUUCAGCAGGGAAGAAGCGAAAGUGACGGUACCUGCAGAAGAAGCGCCGGCUAACUACGUGCCAGCAGCCGCGGUAAUACGUAGGGCGCGAGCGUUGUCCGGAAUUAUUGGGCGUAAAGAGCUCGUAGGCGGCUUGUCGCGUCGGUUGUGAAAGCCCGGGGCUUAACCCCGGGUCUGCAGUCGAUACGGGCAGGCUAGAGUUCGGUAGGGGAGAUCGGAAUUCCUGGUGUAGCGGUGAAAUGCGCAGAUAUCAGGAGGAACACCGGUGGCGAAGGCGGAUCUCUGGGCCGAUACUGACGCUGAGGAGCGAAAGCGUGGGGAGCGAACAGGAUUAGAUA